rnacentral:rRNA from 1 species
CGGUGGAUGAUGUGGUUUAAUUCGAUGCAACGCGAAAACCUUACCACCUUUGACAUGUACGGAAUCCUUUAGAGAUAGAGGAGUGCUCGAAAGAGAGCCGUAACACAGGUGCUGCAUGGCUGUCGUCAGCUCGUGUCGUGAGAUGUUGGGUUAAGUCCCGCAACGAGCGCAACCCUUGUCAUUAGUUGCUACAUUCAGUUGGGCACUCUAAUGAGACUGCCGGUGACAAACCGGAGGAAGGUGGGGAUGACGUCAAGUCCUCAUGGCCCUUAUAGGUGGGGCUACACACGUCAUACAAUGGAUGGUACAAAGGGUCGCCAACCCGCGAGGGGGAGCCAAUCCCAUAAAGCCAUUCGUAGUCCGGAUCGCAGUCUGCAACUCGACUGCGUGAAGUCGGAAUCGCUAGUAAUCGUGGAUCAGAAUGUCACGGUGAAUACGUUCCCGGGUCUU